rnacentral:rRNA from 1 species
GACGAACCGUGCGAACGUUGUUCGGAAUCACUGGGCGUAAAGAGCGCGCAGGCGGUCGUUCAAGUCGAGUGUGAAAGCCCCCGGCUCAACUGGGGAGGGUCAUUCGAUACUGAUCGACUCGAAGGCAGGAGAGGGAAGUGGAAUUCCCGGUGUAGUGGUGAAAUGCGUAGAUAUCGGGAGGAACACCAGUGGCGAAGGCGACUUCCUGGCCUGUUCUUGACGCUGAGGCGCGAAAGCUAGGGGAGCAAACGGGG